GAAAAUAAAAAGAAGCAAAUUCUCCAAGGGAGGUAAAGAUUGAUGGGUGUACGUGAGGGUAUUUGUGCAAAAGCUACAUAAUAUUGCUAGGUUAUAGAGGUUAGUGUGUGAUUACGUUGUUUUGCAGUAGUUGAAAUAAUCAGAUUAUCAGGCAACACACAAAGUACUGGAGGAAUUCAGUAGGUCUCAACCCAAUGUCAACUGUACAUUUCCUCCCAUAAGUUACCUGACCCGCUGAGUUCCUCCAGCACUCUGUGUGUUGCUCCAGAUUUCAAUGUUUGAAAUGUCAUGUGCCUGCAGAUUAUAAAGUAUUAGUCCAACAAUAUCAGCUGUGCUCUUCCCAUAUUAAAAACAUAUGUAAAUAGUUGUGGAUGGUCUUAAAGUGGAACAAGGUUUGAUAAUUUUUAUGUGAUUAUGUUGGAAUUGGUAGCUGAUAUAGUGGUUGGUUAUAAUGUAUUGCUAUGCAUCAUAUCUACAUCUUACAAUAAUCUUCUUUCAAGCAGAAGCAAGAUCUUAACUUCUUACUCAAACAGCCAUUUAUCUCUUUCAUGUCAGCCUGACUUUAAGACAAGAUAUUACAUGCAGCAGAACAUUGCAAUAAAUUGGGUAGUGGGCCAAUGAAUGGAAGGUGGAAUUGAACCUGAACAAGUGUGUGGUAUUGCACAUUAGAGAGAAGGAUUUACCUUGGUCCUUUUGCCUUCAUCAGUUGGUGCAUUGAGUACAGGAGACACAAGAUACUACAAAUGCUGGAGGACCACAGCAGGUUGGGCACCAUCCAGAUAUGGAAAUAGUUUCUCAACCAAAAAUGUCAAUUGUCCAUUUCCCUUCAUAGAUCCUGCCUAACCUGCUGAGUUCCUCCAGCAUCUCAUCUGUUGUAUUGAGUACAAUAGAUGGGAUGUCAUGUUAUAGCUCUGCAAGCCACUGGUGAGACAACACGAAGUAAUGUGUGUGGUUUGAUCACUCAGCUGUACAAACAAUGUCAAUAAGCUGGAAAGGGUAUGGAAGAGAUUCACUGGGAAGUUUGUUUAUUCAUUGCCAGCUCAGCCAGCAUUUAUUGCCCAUCCCUAGUUGCCCUUGAGAAGGUGGUGAUGAGCUGCCUUCUUGAACUGCUGCAGUCUCUGAGGUGUAGAUACCCCCACAGUGCUGUGAGGGAGGGAAUUCCAUGAUCUUGACCCAGCGACAAUGAAGGAAAGAUGAUAUGUUUCCAGGUUUCCAGGUCAGGAUGGGAUUAUUUGUGUGGACAGUUUUCAUUCCCCAUAUCUGAUCACUUUCAAGCAGGCGAAGGAGGCACCCUAGAGAAAUUUCAAGAAUACAGCUGAAAUUAGUUUAACCACAGAUACUGUCUUUUAAAUCACUGUGAAUUGCUAGCAGAAUCAUGAACUGUACAUGGGAAUUCAGUGGAUGAUCCUACAAUAUUUAGUUUUGCAAUCCAAAGUGCUGUGACCUCCCCCACCCCCACCUCAAC